rnacentral:lncRNA from 1 species
UUUCUGUUGGCUCUUAAUUAUUCGAUAUUGUAAUUAUUUACCUCUCUUUUCCCCAUAUUAUAAGCUCCUUGAAGAUACAGAUAGUGUCUUUUAUCCCUAUCAACUGGAUACUUAGCACAGUAUUUGACACAUCCCAGGUGUUUAGUAAAUAGAGUGCCAAUGUGUUUUUAAGCUGUAAAAACGUAUUUAACAGUUUGAUAUUAUUAUUCUUUCUGCCCUCAUUCUUUUAAUUUUGUUUAAUAUUUUCUCAUACUUAAUAUCUGUUCUUACCACUAAUGUAUUAAGAGGCAUGUAUAAUUAGACAGUAUAAAGGCAAAAAAUUUCAGAAAAGAAUAGAUUUUUACACAUGAUAGUUUUGUUCUUGGACAGCAAAUAAAAUAAACCCUGAUACCCUGAUAGGUCACAAGUGCUCUAGACUUUGGCAUCAUUUGUUGUUAAUAUGAAGCUAAGGAAUCCUUUGUAGAGAUGCUAAGAAACCUUAUGAGAGAAUUGGGGUUUGUAAAAUGACAGUGGUCUAGAAUUCUGGGACAUUUUUUAGUUGUCUAGUUAAAGGGAUAUGGCCACAAAGUUAUCUCUGAUGGUUUAGCUUUUUUAUCUCUUUAAUUCAGGGGGAAAGGGGCUGAUAUGAGAAGAUUUCUAUAAUUCUUUUCAAGGUCAACAAUGCUUUGACAGCCCCCUCCUUCUUGAACCUAGAUCCUAUCAGUCCAGUCUUCACCAUAUGACCAUAUUUACAUUUCCUUUUAAAAUGUUUUUAUUCUAUUGAGGGCAGCGCGGGUGGCUCAGCGGUUUAGUGUUGCCUUCAGUCCAGGGCCUGAUCCUGGAGACUUGGGAUUGAGUCCUACGUCAGGCUCCCUGCAUGGAGCCUGCUUUCCCUCUGCCUGUGUCUCUGCCUCUCUCUCUCUCUCUCUGUGUCUCUCAUGAGUAAAUAAAGAAAAUCUUAAAAAAAAAAAAAAACAAAAACAACAAAACCAAAACCAACAACAACAACAAAAUAAAAUGUUUUUGUUCUGUUGAGUUUGGCUGUGUAUAGAAGUCUCUGAUGAAAAUUGCUCCACAGUUUUCUAGAACUCGGUAUUACCAUUGAGAAAGUUCAUGUGUUUUAGCAAAAUGAUAGAGGAGACUGAGAAAAAGAUAUGGGAUCCCAGAGAAAGGAGAUCCAACGUAGAGGACCAGCAAGGAGAAGGCGUAGGAUAACAGUUAUGUACUAGGCCUAGACACAGAAACCAGGCUGGGUGGGGGUGGGAGUGGGGAGGGCCCCAGAAAAAAAAAUGAAGCUAGUAUUAGUAGGUUUGGGAAAUUCUUGCAGUAUUUGUUAAAAUUAUUGAUAAGCAUGAGACAGAUCUUUUGAACAUUUGAAAAAAUAAUAGUGACACAGAUAUAAAGAAGAGGAGAAAAGAAUAGGCAGUCGUUAAUCCAGAAAAACAAAACUAUUCUGGAAAACAAGAAUUAGAAUCUUGAUGUACAACUUUGCUUAUGAUAGGAAAUCAACAUUCAUUCAUAAUAAGGUAUGUGUUGACUAUUCUUUUAGUGAAAGUUGAAAUAGAACUGUGUUGAGAGGGUGAAGGAGUAGAGAAUGGGUGGGGAUAUUUAGAGAUAAUUAAAUCCUCAACUACUGUACUGGGAAGUCAAGUGCUAAUAUCUAAAAUAGAUAUUUCAUGGGGCGCCUAGGUGGCUCAGUUGGCUAAAUGUCUGCCUUCAGCUCAGCUCAUGAUCCCAGGGGUUUGUGAUCGAGCCCCACAUGGGGCUCUCGGCUCCGUGAGGAGUCUGCCUCUCCCUUUCACUCUUCCUCUGAGCUGUCUCUCAAAUAAAUAAAUAAAAUCUUUAAAAAAUAGAUUUUUGAGGAAAUAUCUGUGUAAGCGUAUUACUUAGAAAUAUAUGAGCAGGUACUUGAAGAAAGAACUUCUGGGGGUGCUUUUGGGUAUUGGGUUUUGGGGGGGACAAGGCACUGCUUUUCCAUUUAUUAUAAGCUUUCCAGUACUGUAUUGUUUUUUUUUUUUAAUUUAUUUUUUAUUGGUGUUCAAUUUGCCAACAUAUAGAAUAACACCCAGUUCUGGCACCUAUAUUUCUGAUUGUGUUUUCAUAGGAUCAAGAAAGUGGAAAUCCUUUAGUGCAGGAUUUUUCAGAACUCUGGUCUUCUGAAGCUUUU